rnacentral:sRNA from 1 species
GGCGGUGUAAGUGCAGCCCGUCUUACACCGUGCGGCACAGAAACACUGAUGUCGUAUACAGGGCG